rnacentral:tRNA from 2 species
GGUUUGGUAGCUCAGUCGGUUAGAGCGUCUGACUGAAGAUCAGAAGGUCGGCAGUUCGAUUCUGCCCUAAACCACCA